GACGAACGCUGGCGGCGUGCUUAACACAUGCAAGUCGAACGGUGAAGCGCCUUCCUUUUUGGUGGGUGUGGAUGAGUGGCGAACGGGUGAGUAACACGUGAGUAACCUGCCCCCCUCUUCUGGAUAACCGCAUGAAAGUGUGGCUAAUACGGGAUAUUCUGGGUCUGUCGCAUGAUGGGUCUGGGAAAGAUAUUGUUUCGGUGGGGGAUGGGCUCGCGGCCUAUCAGCUUGUUGGUGGGGUGAUGGCCUACCAAGGCGGUGACGGGUAGCCGGCCUGAGAGGGUGGACGGUCACACUGGGACUGAGACACGGCCCAGACUCCUACGGGAGGCAGCAGUGGGGAAUAUGGCACAAUGGGCGCAAGCCUGAUGCAGCGACGCCGCGUGAGGGAUGGAGGCCUUCGGGUUGUGAACCUCUUUCGCCAGUGAAGCAGGCCUGCCUCGUUUGUGGGUGGGUUGACGGUAGCUGGAUAAGAAGCGCCGGCUAACUACGUG
rnacentral:rRNA from 1 species